rnacentral:rRNA from 1 species
CCUUUGUGCCAGCGAGUAAUGUCGGGAACUCAAAGGAGACUGCCGGUGAUAAACCGGAGGAAGGUGGGGAUGACGUCAAGUCAUCAUGGCCCUUACGAGUAGGGCUACACACGUGCUACAAUGGCAUAUACAAAGAGAAGCGAACUCGCGAGAGCAAGCGGACCUCAUAAAGUAUGUCGUAGUCCGGAUUGGAGUCUGCAACUCGACUCCAUGAAGUCGGAAUCGCUAGUAAUCGUAGAUCAGAAUGCUACGGUGAAUACGUUCCCGGGCCUU